UGGACUCAGGCAGAGGAAAUGACUCCAGCGGUGGGAUGGGAUCCGCGCGUGGGUCUGAUCGUGGCCGAUUGGUUCCAAAGCAGCAUAGGUACCAGAUUGCUGGGAGUGGUGGCAGGGGCAUUCCAGCGCUUUGGGCUGGAGCUGGAUUAUUCACCAGGGGCGUCGUGGUUCUACUCUAUGGAUGAGUCGACUGUGUCGGAGCUCAAGUGGAAGAUCUGGACUGUGGCAGUCGCCCACGUCCUCCGGGUUCCCGUCCCGGAGGUUUUCUUGCAUCUCUUCAUCGCUGCCGACUAUUUCACGCGCCAGCGAGGUUGCUCCAACCGGCAACGUUACGGUGGCCGGAAGCUACUGUCCUUCGUACUCCCUUGCCACUACGCUGUACAGAAGCUUGAACAGCUCAAGGCGAGAGACAUUCAGACGCCAGCCACUGAAGCGAUGUCUUCGGCGGAAGGAAUUACAUAUCUUGUGUCGCUCAUGUCUAGAGUUCCCUCUACUUUCUCGACGCGAACAUGUCUUCUGGAUGCCAUGCGCCUGUUUGAAGUGAGCCAGGAACUUUGCGUGCUCUUCUUGGCGUGGCUGCAGCUCCAGAUCCAAGCAAACAAGCAGCCGUUCGAAUGGCUCGACGCUUUCGAAGCUCAAGCCAAAGCCGGCGGCGGGGGGCACCUGGGCAACCUCUUGCUCUUCUUCCUAGACACAGUGCACGCAUACAGGUUUAAGGAUUUCUAUCUGCCACCCAAGGAGAUCAUCGACAGGGUCUAUAACGUUUGCUUCAAGGAACUCCCGAUGGUAGAGUGGCAGUCGAUCGACCUCACCGCCGGCGUCCGUCAGGUGUUGGAGGAGGUGGUGGCAGGAGUGACUCCCACAUUCGAGUGGGACAAAAGCCUUCUUGUAACUCUGGAGCGCUGGGUUCAAAGGAGGUCGCUCGUUUACCAGCACAGGCCUCGCGAGGUUCCAUACGUUAUGGACUUUACGGAUGCAACCUUGCAAAUUGGCCGUCUGAUCUACACUUGGACACUGACGAAGAAGGGGCAGCGCGACCAUGCCGAGCUCCAGACGCUGUGCUCGACGGGCAAGUCGAUCGUGGAGCACGCACAGUCGGUGGCAGUGGGAAGCAGCGACGAGCGCCAGCUCUACCGUGCCGCCGCUGCCGUUUUCGGCAAGGAUUUUAGCGGCCAUUUCGUGUAGCUGUGCAGGAACGCGCAGUGGGAGCCGGAUGGGGUCCCUUGCUCGCAGUCCGAGCUGGGAGAAAUAAGGGAGCUGGCAUGGAGAGGGCUGAUUUUAGUCUUCAACUUCGAGUACAGAGUUCCGGAGCAUUACUUUGACGGCAGCCCUAAGCAACUGAGAGACGAGGUGCCGUUCGGUGCCAUGAUAGUCUACAUUGUUCACCUGAUAUUUGAGGAUCGCUUGACUCUAGACAUUGAUCGCAAAACGUGGACAGAAGAGUGCACCUUAGCUCUAAAUAGUCACGGAAAUCGUGAUACAUAUCGGAACAAGAGGGGCAUUUUUAUUGCAUCAGAUGGGACGAGGAAGAGAUGUCUAGCUCUUGAGAAGCUGAUAAACUCUCCCAACGUACAGAGGGCCUUGGGAGCAAGCGCGGAUGAAAUAGGCGAUGCCAUGGUCAAGGCGAUUGCAGCAGGUGGUAUAUAUUAUGACCAGGAACACAGAGAUUUAUGGUUUAAAAUGGGCAAAAUAUUCAGAGGGGAUUAUGAGAGGCUCUCAGCAUAUAUUAUAGCAUAUGCAAUUUUCAGAGGAUUAAUUUAAACAAUAUGGAUAUCUCAUCUCAAA